UGCGCAAGCAAAUCCCUUUCACACAAAUUGACACAUUUGGCAUGACAUGACAUGACUUGACUUGUAUUUACAUUGACAACCGGCAUGUUGUACUUCCAACAGUAAACAAAGCUUAGCAUGAAGUAGAAGCCCUAGGCUGCUUGCAACCAUGCUCUGGUAUUAGAUUUUCGGAGGCAGCUCUCUUUGGUCUUAACUUCUCUUCAGCUCGCUCAUAGAAGUUUCUCAGAAGAAUAUUUUUGGCUUCAGUAGUUAUCACUUGAUCAGGUGGUGGAAGAGUACGGUUGUGAGUAGGAUGAUAAGUAGCAGGAGUCAUUUUCGAUGGAUUGGAAGGAUCAGUGGGUCUAAGUUGGCUAAAGUUGUGAGGGUCAAAGGAAGGCCAGUCACCGAGCAUAGACCCCAUGGAAUGCGGGGUUUCGGUGGCCAAAUCUAGACAGAGAAAGAUAUCAGAAGAGGAAGAGCGAUAGAGAUGGUAUCUGUAAUGGGCCUCCCUAUUCUAGAACCAGCCU
rnacentral:misc_RNA from 1 species